rnacentral:rRNA from 1 species
AACGAACGCUGGCGGCAUGCCUAACACAUGCAAGUCGAACGAGACCUUCGGGUCUAGUGGCGCACGGGUGCGUAACGCGUGGGAACCUGCCCUUAGGUUCGGAAUAACUCCCCGAAAGGGGUGCUAAUACCGGAUAAUGUCUUCGGACCAAAGAUUUAUCGCCUUUGGAUGGGCCCGCGUUGGAUUAGCUAGUUGGUAGGGUAAAAGCCUACCAAGGCGACGAUCCAUAGCUGGUCUGAGAGGAUGAUCAGCCACACUGGGACUGAGACACGGCCCAGACUCCUACGGGAAGCAGCAGUGGGGAAUAUUGGACAAUGGGCGAAAUCCUGAUCCAGCAAUGCCGCGUGAGUGAUGAAGGCCUUAGGGUUGUAAAGCUCUUUUACCCGGGAUGAUAAUGACAGUACCGGGAGAAUAAGCUCCGGCUAACUCCGUG